rnacentral:rRNA from 1 species
AACGCUAGCUACAGGCUUAACACAUGCAAGUCGAGGGGCAGCAUUUAGUUUGCUUGCAAACUAAAGAUGGCGACCGGCGCACGGGUGAGUAACACGUAUCCAACCUGCCGAUAACUCGGGGAUAGCCUUUCGAAAGAAAGAUUAAUAUCCGAUGGUAUAUUAAAACCGCAUGGUUUUACUAUUAAAGAAUUUCGGUUAUCGAUGGGGAUGCGUUCCAUUAGUUUGUUGGCGGGGUAACGGCCCACCAAGACUACGAUGGAUAGGGGUUCUGAGAGGAAGGUCCCCCACAUUGGAACUGAGACACGGUCCAAACUCCUACGGGAGGCAGCAGUGAGGAAUAUUGGUCAAUGGACGAGAGUCUGAACCAGCCAAGUAGCGUGAAGGAUGACUGCCCUAUGGGUUGUAAACUUCUUUUAUAUGGGAAUAAAGUAUUCCACGUUUGGGAUUUUGUAUGUACCAUAUGAAUAAGGAUCGGCUAACUCCGUGCCAGCAGCCGCGGUAAUACGGAGGAUCCGAGCGUUAUCCGGAUUUAUUGGGUUUAAAGGGAGCGUAGGUGGAUUGUUAAGUCAGUUGUGAAAGUUUGCGGCUCAACCGUAAAAUUGCAGUUGAAACUGGCAGUCUUGAGUACAGUAGAGGUGGGCGGAAUUCGUGGUGUAGCGGUGAAAUGCUUAGAUAUCACGAAGAACUCCGAUUGCGAAGGCAGCUCACUAGACUGCAACUGACACUGAUGCUCGAAAGUGUGGGUAUCAAACAGGAUUAGAUACCCUGGUAGUCCACACAGUAAACGAUGAAUACUCGCUGUUUGCGAUAUACAGUAAGCGGCCAAGCGAAAGCAUUAAGUAUUCCACCUGGGGAGUACGCCGGCAACGGUGAAACUCAAAGGAAUUGACGGGGGCCCGCACAAGCGGAGGAACAUGUGGUUUAAUUCGAUGAUACGCGAGGAACCUUACCCGGGCUUAAAUUGCAUUUGAAUAAUCUGGAAACAGGUUAGCCGCAAGGCAAAUGUGAAGGUGCUGCAUGGUUGUCGUCAGCUCGUGCCGUGAGGUGUCGGCUUAAGUGCCAUAACGAGCGCAACCCUUAUCUUUAGUUACUAACAGGUCAUGCUGAGGACUCUAGAGAGACUGCCGUCGUAAGAUGUGAGGAAGGUGGGGAUGACGUCAAAUCAGCACGGCCCUUACGUCCGGGGCUACACACGUGUUACAAUGGGGGGUACAGAAGGCAGCUACCUGGCGACAGGAUGCUAAUCCCAAAAACCUCUCUCAGUUCGGAUCGAAGUCUGCAACCCGACUUCGUGAAGCUGGAUUCGCUAGUAAUCGCGCAUCAGCCAUGGCGCGGUGAAUACGUUCCCGGGCCUUGUACACACCGCCCGUCAAGCCAUGAAAGCCGGGGGUACCUGAAGUACGUAACCGCAAGGAGCGUCCUAGGGUAAAACUGGUAAUUGGGGCUAA